rnacentral:tRNA from 1 species
ACCUGGCUGGUUCAGUUGGUAGAGCAUGUGACUCUUGAUCUCGGGGUCAUGAGUUCGACCUCAUAUUGGGUG